GCUAUCUAUGAUGACUGAAUUUUUUCCCCGGCAGAUCGUCCCUGGUGACUUUUUAUAAAUUAAGCCAAUUUUGUCUGAUAAGAUGGC